rnacentral:lncRNA from 1 species
ACUGACACAUACUUUUUUUAAGGGAUACUUUAUACUUGACGGACAGUCUUUAUAACAAAUCAUGUCAUAUGUGUCCAUGAUUUAUCUUAAAAAUUAAUAAAGAUGAUUUUAUAUAUUCUCAAGUUAUUGAGAAUUUGAGAUAUACAUCAUUAGUGGUUAAUUUCUAAAUACUUCUGAUCGAAGGAUCAUCACGGAAGAC